rnacentral:tRNA from 1 species
GGUUCUGUGGUGUAAAAAACAUAUUAGAUUGCAAAUCUUUAGAUACGAUUGAAAAUUCCGUCAGGACUU